UAGGGAAUCUUCCGCAAUGGACGAAAGUCUGACGGAGCAACGCCGCGUGAGUGAUGAAGGUUUUCGGAUCGUAAAGCUCUGUUGUUAGGGAAGAACAAGUGCCGUUCAAAUAGGGCGGCACCUUGACGGUACCUAACCAGAAAGCCACGGCUAACUACGUGCCAGCAGCCGCGGUAAUACGUAGGUGGCAAGCGUUGUCCGGAAUUAUUGGGCGUAAAGGGCUCGCAGGCGGUUUCUUAAGUCUGAUGUGAAAGCCCCCGGCUCAACCGGGGAGGGUCAUUGGAAACUGGGGAACUUGAGUGCAGAAGAGGAGAGUGGAAUUCCACGUGUAGCGGUGAAAUGCGUAGAGAUGUGGAGGAACACCAGUGGCGAAGGCGACUCUCUGGUCUGUAACUGACGCUGAGGAGCGAAAGCGUGGGGAGCGAACA
rnacentral:rRNA from 2 species